rnacentral:lncRNA from 1 species
CUUGCUCCUAGAUGCUCAGUCAAAUGAGUAUUCACAAGUUACACGAGUUCAAUAUUGAACAACUCUCAAGCAAGUGAUUUAGCAAAAAAGAAAAAUCUCUCAAUUCGGUGUUAUUGCAAAUGAAAGCAAAGGUCAAGGAUGCAGAAUAGCAGCAAUUGAAGUAACUGGUCCUGCAGAUAGUUUAGAAAUAAAGGAAGUUUAGGUAAGAAACAGAAUAAAGAUAGGCCAUAAGAAAUUAUAGAUCAAGGUGAAGAAAUAUAAGGAGAAACAGACUAAACAACAUAGAUAGAACAAUAAUUAGAAAAGCGAGUACAGAUGGAGAUAAGAGAGAAUAAUAACUCCAAGAAAAAAAUUUCUUAAUUCAUUACUGUCUAUAUUGUUUUGUUGGUAGCUACCACACUUCAUGUAGGCAUUAAUUAUAAAUAAUAUGGCCAAAUAUACAGAGAAAAUCUAAAAUGUUCUAGUUCUUAUGAUACCUAAUCCACUUAAAUGGGAAAUUAAAAUAUUAUAAUGCUUAAACAAAAGUAAACAAACUAAAUAACUUUAAAAUAAAAAAUAAUGUUAUUACUACAAAAACUUUUUCAAAUGAAGAUUUCCAAAAUAAUAUCUUUUUAUAACUUAUCAUCCUACCUGACUUCAUGAAAACUUCAACCUUGAUUUUUGAAGUUGUGAUGCAUCAAAAUAGGCAAGGCUCGAAUGUCCUCUUCAAAAUUUCCAAAAAGUCGAGAUUUUUGAUAGUCAUAGAAAAUUAAAAUUUAACCAAACUAUAGGUUCCUUAGAAUCAAAUAACCAAUAAGACAAAUGAGAUUAUCCCAACAAAUCUCUUUAAUGCAGUGAUCAUGGUUGAAAGAGACUUUAAUAGGAGCAGGAGGUAUAACAAGAUCGUUGAAAGGAGGAAGUUGCUCAAUAUCAUUAGCGUGGACAAAAAUAACUUUAAAAGAAGCCAAUAUCGCUUAAACUGACACUGAUGGUUUGAAAGGA